UUAACUCUAAUUUGUAUGGAGUUGGAACGUUUGCCUACGUUUGCCGCUAGUGGCGCUGUUCCGACUCCAUACAAAUUUGAGUUA
rfam:Bombyx mori DNA, contig: Bm_scaf5_contig4513, strain: p50T/Dazao, build 2, whole genome shotgun sequence.